rnacentral:rRNA from 1 species
UUAUAAGAGACAGCAGUAGCCGCGGUAAUACGAAGGGUGCAAGCGUUACUCGGAAUUACUGGGCGUAAAGCGUGCGUAGGUGGUGGUUUAAGUCCGUUGUGAAAGCCCUGGGCUCAACCUGGGAAUUGCAGUGGAUACUGGGUCACUAGAGUGUGGUAGAGGAUAGUGGAAUUUCCGGUGUAGCAGUGAAAUGCGUAGAGAUCGGAAGGAACAUCUGUGGCGAAGGCGACUAUCUGGGCCAACACUGACACUGAGGCACGAAAGCGUGGGGAGCAAACAGGAUUAGAUACCCCAGUAGUCCCUGUCUCUUAUAC